CGACCACUCCCCAAGCAAAACAAGAGCCUCGCAGGUGCUCAUUGUCGAACCGCAGGAGGGUGCCCGCAGACCUUGAUGAAGAUGGUUCUGACUGCCUUGCCCUUUGCCCUCAUUUAGACAUGUAUCCCCAGCUCGGCGCAGGGAUGGAGAAGGAAGCCGGCAAUGGUAUGUGGCAAGCAUCUGUGUCACUCCAACGCUGGCCUUCCCUGCCGAGUGAAACGUUUGGCGCUCCUCCCCGGAUGCCCAUGGUGGUGGCGUGGCCCAGUAUCCUAUCUGGCCUCUGGCCUCUGCUCUGUCCUCCCUCUUGUUCUGCCUGUCCUGAGAAGCCUAGGGGAUUCUUAGUCUGGCUUAAUGUAUUCAACUGAGAAGACGUCCCAGUCCAUCCGAGAGAAACUUCCUGGGGGUCGGUGUUAUGAUUGUUUCCCUCUCCAAACCUUUUUUUUCAUCGUGAUUGGGGAGGUGUGGUGAUCCUGCAGCUCUGGGCUUCCAUAGCUGUGUGAGACAGGGAAGCUUUCUGGGUCUCCGUGGCCCAAGUGAUGGCUGCGUGGUCGGUGCAGGAAGAGCGCUAGGCAGCCCGACCGUUCCUGACAUUUGCCUUCUAGGAAAGGCGGUGUCACAUCCCACUUGCACUUCCUCUCUGAUGGUUGACGGCCAUCCGGUUCCUGUGCUCCUGUGGAAGGAGCCUCCUAGCACUGAGUCUUCUGGCUGCCAUGGUGCCAAAGGGACUGGGUUUUCCUGGGUGCAGGGGAGGUGGCGUCAGGGGUACUUACCCGGUGGCGGGGUGGGUGUGGGGUGUAGUUUGUGGAAACCCCUCAGCCCGUCUGGCAGGCAUCCCUGAAUGUGGCUCGGAUUCGGGCGCAGGUCCUGUCUGGCAGGUUUUCAGGUGUGCUUUGCUUUUGCUGUGUCCAGGACUGGUCUCAGCCCCGACUCCGACGCACGAUCACACAGGGCUCCCUCUCUCACUCUGUCUCUGUGUGCGUUUGGUCAGAUUUGCUCUGUCAGCUGGCGGGCGUUUUCUUGCACGUCAGCCUUUCUUCUUGUCAGCGUCUACCCUGGUCUCUGCCUGGGUCGUACGGCCAGUUAUCCAUCAUUUUUCCGACGGUUGCAGUUUGGGUUUGUGAGGAUCUGGAUGGAUGAGGUGGGGAGCGGCGUCAAUCUCGUAAGGAUUUAAAUCACCUCUACACCUUCCGAGCCCUCUUUUUUAGGAUUAAGGGCACCACACCUUAGGCAAGGAUAAAAGCCUCACCAGAGAGGUCAUUGUCUACCUGCAGGAGCGGUGCAGAGCGACCUCAAAGAUCCUUCUCAUUCAUCUCUGUUUCAUCUCAUUGAGAAAUCUAGCCACAGUGUAACACAGGUUUUGAAAGGAUUGGAAUCGGACGUGGGAAGUAUCUGUAAGUGUUCAGGCUGUGUUUGACAUAUCAUUAAACAUCGUCUAGUGAGUGUUCUGCAGAUAGCUGGCAUUUGUUUUACUGAAUCAAGGAAAAGAAAAAAUGCUGAGAAAAAAUGACACAACUUGCCUGCCAGCCCACCUGAUCGUUACAAAGUUGAUAGUAAUUUUAAUUUAUCUUCUCAUGUAAAGGUCCUUGGCAGUGAUACCUAAUUUCCUAAGGUAGCCUUGCUUUAUUUUGUAUGAUAAAGCUGUCAUGCACAUCAGAGUAUCUGGAAAUUCUUCCCAACACCCUUGACAUACGUGAUUAAUCACAUUGCCAAAAUGACCUACCAAAGAAAACAACAGAAAAUCAUUUGUUACUUAGUUCCUUCAAAUUUGUUAAUUUCAGUUGUGGUUCCUUCAUGCAUGAAAAAUCUCAUGUGCGUCUGGCGGUCUUCUAGCCAAAGAUUUCAUCUUAAACAACCUAAGUAUUGAAAUGCUUGUGCCCUUUGAUUAAUUUUUCCUACAUAAAUACUUUGAUAAAGAGUUACAUUGAGGCCGGGCAUAGUAUCUCACGCCUGUAAUCCCUCCUCUUUGGGAGGCUGAGGGAGACAGAUCAUGAGGUCAAGAGAUUCAAGACCAUCCUGGCCAACCUGGUGAAACCCCAUCUCCUCAGAAAUACAAAGAAUUAACCAGGCAAGGCCAAGCGCUGGCUUAUGCCUGUAAUCUCAGCACUUUGGGAGGCUGAGGCGGAUGGAUCACAUGAGGUUAGGAGUUCAAGACCAGCCUGGCCAACAUGGUGAAAACUUGGCUAUAUUAAAUAUACAAAAAUUAGACCCUGAAGGUCAUGUCCGAAUGAAAAAUACAUUGUUUGGCUCAAAUUGUCUGACACUAAGGAACAGUGCAGACUGGCCAAGUGAGGUGUCUCACACCUGUAAUCCCGUCACUUUGGGAGGCCGAGGCGGGUGGAUCACCUGAGGUCAGAGGAUCAACACCAGCCUGACCAACAUGGUGAAACUCCAUCUCUACUAAAACAAAGUACAAGGAAAUUACCCAGGCGUGGUGGCGCAUGCCUGCAAAUCCCAGCUAUUUGGGAGGCUGAGGCAGGAGAAUCGCUUGAACCCGGGUGGCGGAGGUUGCGGUGAGGAGAGAUCACGCCACUGCACUCCAGCCUGGGCAUCAAGAGCAAAACUCUGUCUCAAAAAAAAAAAAAAAAAAAAGAAUAGUUCAAAGUUAGUUAGGGCACAUUUAUUUUCAGAGAAGCAAGGAAUCUCGAAUUUUGGGUGAAAUGUCCCAAUUGCCAGAAGCUGAAAAUGCUCUCAAAUGUAAAAUUCAGGUCAGACUAUAUCAAGCUUCUCCUAGUUCUCUGUGUGAACAGCUAGUCUGUAUCUUCACCUAUGCAUAUUUAAAAAUCAACGUUAAGAAGGCCCUUGGCCAUCAUAAUCCUUCCACACUGUAGCAAGAGCCCAGCCUCAGACUAUGCUUCCUUCGGCCUCCCACUGGAAUGCCUUCCCCCGAAUCUCCAAGGUACCAAACCGGUCAGGGGCAGCUGAGACAGCCCUACUUCUGGGAAUCCUCCCCAAGCCCUUGAAAUCACAGGCAUCUCUGUUUUCCCUGCCCUUCAUCCACGUCACUGAACAAUUAAGCGCACACAUCUCUGUACUUUUAUUAAACCGUUCCAUGUGUGUUUACAAUUAACUACUUCAUGAAUGACUGCGGUAUGGAUGCAGCAGAAAGGAAUGCUGAGGGAGGACUCCUGUUAGAAUGAGCCACUCUUCCAGGACUAGGAAUGAACUGUCCCCAGUACCAACCAGGCAGCCUCCAGGGCAAGAAAAGGUAACGGGAUCCAUCCUGUUGACAGUCAAGAUGGAAAUACAGUGAAAGGAAAAUGGCCUGGAGGCACUCACAGGAGAGCAUCCGAGAUCCCAGACAGCUCUACAGCUCCCAGCCUGCGUUCCCGUGAGUAACACAGGGACACACAGAGGGGCAUGCUGACUGCCUAUAGGGGACUCACGGAACGCGGAUGCAGCUGCGGAUCCUGAAGCCAGUCAGCGCACACAACCAAGCUUAGGAGCCCCCUGUUAAGAUGCCCAAGUGACAGGGACAAGUUUCUCCUCUGUGACCCAGUGAGAUUUGCUGACCGAGACAGCAUCGCGGGACCGCGGAAGGAUUCUGGAAAAUGUGGUCCCGGUUGGCCAGUGUGCACUGACCUACGCCUGCAGGUUUUUAUCUUACAGGUGCAGCUUGAAGGAAACUUCUGGACUUCUGGAGGGUGGGGUGGUGUUGAAGAGGAGGCACAAUUGUAACCGUUUUGUUCAACAUGGGUGUUUAUGCAUUAAUU